rnacentral:rRNA from 1 species
GAGUUUGAUCUUGGCUCAGAUUGAACGCUGGCGGCAUGCCUUACACAUGCAAGUCGAACGGCAGCACGGGAGCUUGCUCCUGGUGGCGAGUGGCGAACGGGUGAGUAAUGCAUCGGAACGUAUCCUGGAGUGGGGGAUGACGUAGCGAAAGUUACGCUAAUACCGCAUAUUCUGUGAGCAGGAAAGCGGGGGACCUUCGGGCCUCGCGCUCUUGGAGCGGCCGAUGUCGGAUUAGCUAGUUGGUAGAGGUAAAGGCUACACCAAGGCGACGAUCCGUAGCAGGUCUGAGAGGAUGAUCUGCCACACUGGAACUGAGACACGGUCCAGACUCCUACGGGAGGCAGCAGUGGGGAAUUUGGACAAUGGGGGCAACCCUGAUCCAGCCAUGCCGCGUGAGUGAAGAAGGCC